GAACCGUGCGAACGUUAUUCGGAAUCACUGGGCUUAAAGCGCGUGUAGGCGGGCCGGCACGUCGGUCGCUGAAAGCCCCCGGCUCAACCGGGGAAGCGGCGCCGAUACGACCGGCCUGGAGGGGGGUAGGGGGCGCCGGAACGGCCGGUGGAGCGGUGAAAUGCGUUGAGAUCGGCCGGAACGCCCGUGGCGAAAGCGGGCGCCUGGACCCCGCCUGACGCUGAGACGCGAAAGCCAGGGGAGCGAACGGGAUUAGAUACCCCGGUAGUCCUGGCCCUAAACCAUGGGCACUGGGUAGGGGGCUCGCCGAUGGGCUCCCUGCCGCAGCGAAAGCGUGAAGUGCCCCGCCUGGGGAGUAUGGUCGCAAGGCUG
rnacentral:rRNA from 1 species